rnacentral:misc_RNA from 1 species
ACAAACUUGGUCAUUUAGAGGAAGUAAAAGUCGUAACAAGGUUUCCGUAGGUGAACCUGCGGAAGGAUCAUUCAUAAUGGAGUUACUAAUGGCACUCUAAAAAAAUCCAUACCCACCUUGUGUGAAAUGUUAAAUCCUUGUCAUCAUUUGUCAAGGUUUUUUUUUAAUAUCAACUCUUUAUUAAAAUAAAAAAAUGUCUGAAAAAUAGUUAUGAAUUUACUUAAUUCAAAACACAACUUUCAACAACGGAUCUCUUGGCUCUCGCAUCGAUGAAGAACGCAGC